rnacentral:tRNA from 1 species
GGAGAGGUGGCCGAGUCGGCUGAAGGCAGCCGCCUGCUAAGCGGUUGUAGGGGCACAAACUCCUACCGUGGGUUCGAAUCCCACCCUCUCCG